rfam:Enterococcus sulfureus ATCC 49903 acyDF-supercont2.5, whole genome shotgun sequence.
AAUUCCUUUAAAGAUAGUCCCGUGAGGCUAAAAAGGUGUGAAUUAGUCCUGUGAUACAUGCGUGUAUCCACAGAUCUAAUUAUUUCGGUGUAUUGCGAUACAUCAAUCUUCUGUCUACAAUCUGACAUUCACUCCUGCCUUUGCGAGAAGGUAGGAGUUUUUUUAU